GGGCUUUUGCUUCCUUGGCCGCCAUCUUGUUAAAAAAAUGGCGAAGUUGAAUUGAAAACUUCUUCAAAUUUCUUUUGCGUAGAGGCCUUAUUACCAUCAAGAUGGACCAGGAAAUGCUACUUCUUGAGCUGGAAGCUACUCAACGCUAGGUGGACAAUGUAAAUCGAUGACAAAAUUCAGAUGCGCAAAAGUUACCCAGGAAGUUGUUCCUCAGACCUGGAAAUGGGUGAUGACCUCUAGAUGGUGCCUACCGCGUCACAUGGCUGGGCCAAGGGCACGACGGCGGUAAAGCCGAUGUAGGGACGCUCCAGGGACUGGAACAGCUACACGAACUGGCAACAGAAAGCCUUGGAACCCUUGCUCCCACAAUAUAUCUCACUAUAGACGGUUAGUUGGGUCCCGGGGGCCACAUUUUACACCCUAAAGGAUGGUGAUGGCAAGCAUAUACAGUAUGUGACUUUCUCGGGAGAAGGCCCCUCCCACCUCAUCCCCCGGGACUAGAGCUCCUUCAAAGAACUAUGCUUUGUCACAGUGACUACCGAGCGCCGAGGUUAUUGUUGACUUCCAGGCUAUUGUCGGUACCGGAAAUGCAUGGGCACACGUGCUGAAGAGGGCACCUGAAGUAUGGUGACGCGUUACGAACGGGACGGACAAGUCGUUGGAAGAUAAAGGUCCAUCGAAUGGUCCUUUGCAAUCACUAACGAGCAUCAUGGUACCUGAUGAUUUUUCAGACACUCCCUAGCAGAGUUAUGCCUUUCCCGGUUCAAUGUUACUCUAAGCUGGUGGAAAAUUUUUCCCCGAACGAAAAUAUUUAAAACAAUUCCACUGACCUGGUAGAAAAUUUGCCAAUCUGGUAAGCUUUUAACUAAAAAAAAACCUGCCGGGAAAUUAUUAGCAGCCAGGUCUGUUGCAAAGGGAUGUUCUCUGGGAUUUUGGAGUUAAGUUCGUUUAUAACUUAGGCUUUUCUUUAUUGUAUUCAUUUCACCUCUAACAAAUUAGAUAAUAAUGAAAAAGGAUCAAUGGUUAAGCAAUGGGGUCUUAUUCUUACUACUAUCAGAGAAAUCAAAAUAGCAGAGUAGAUAGUGUUUCAUGAUCGACCAGACACAAAUACGUACAUGGAUAAAUUCACGUAAUCGAGACCGAGCGGUAACAGGUGUACCGUAGGGUGGUCGUUUGACGGAGGUCCACUGUGCAUCGCUUAGCUCGGAUGGGGACGGGGGUCCCACCAAUUCCGUCAUUUUUGUCGCUGUCUAUCACAGAUUUCUUUCCCUAUUCCGCUUUAUCCUAAGGACCUAGGACCCUGUUUAACGUAUGAUUGGGUAAUAUUUGUUGCUAUUUGGGGGUUUAAACUUUUUGUUUGGUGCAGCAGGGAUUAACAACUCGAUUUGAUGACAGCCCGUUUUGUUGGGGUUCACGCAAUUGGUACCUGUUUUUGGCAUUGAACUUGGCUUUCUUAACAAUCAGCGCUUCUAUGGGCACUUGCUCUCUUGUCUUUUGUUGGGCGGUGUAGUACAUCAUGAUGACAAAUUAAUCUGCUUGUAAACCAAGACUUGUUUGAAUACCAUCGUCGCAUCACGUCCGCGUAAAGGAGACUUCCCUUUUAUUCCGUUCUCUCAUCGUCGUGUCACGAAACUGCUUGAUGGUCAGCGGAAAAUGUUUUUUUGUUUUGGACACUGCUGAUCCAAAACGGAUUUCACAUACGAGGGCUGUCGAAUUGCCUCUGGCACGUUUUGUUGUAAUGGUUUCUUAUUAAAUUUAUUGAUUUAUGCAAA